UUGUAAUGUCGACGACAUCCGCAAGAAGCCAGCGUAGCGCAGGGAAGCACGGAGGUGCAAGACGAGGGGCUGGUUGUCGGAAAAUACAACUAGACGCAGAAUACAAAAUAUUAAGACUGGAACGAUCUACUUACGACAGACUCCUCGCUUUGAGAGAUCGCCAUACUUGCCCAGUUUCAACUCGCUUGCCGAAUUUCUUUUGAGGCGCGUACUCAACUGCAGCUGUCAGCCAUUGUCCACUUCUGUACGGGAGCCUACUGCGAUUGGUGACGAUUCAGCAACAUUGGAGACUAUAGCUUCCCAUUCUAGAGAACGUACAGACCAGUCUGACUGUUCGAUAGCUACAGGUAGCCUAGCUAGUAGAUUACUGAGAAUAGAGAAGGUAUAUAUA